rnacentral:tRNA from 3 species
GGCAGUGUAGCUUAAAGGUAAAGCCCCAAACUCAUAAUUUGGUCUAUUCAGGUUCAAUUCCUGUCACUGCUA